rnacentral:rRNA from 1 species
UACGUAGGGUGCGAGCGUUGUCCGGAUUUAUUGGGCGUAAAGAGCUUGUAGGCGGCUCGUCACGUCGGGUGUGAAAACUCGCGGCUCAACCGCGAGCCUGCACCCGAUACGGGCGGGCUAGAGUUCGGCAGGGGAGACUGGAAUUCCUGGUGUAGCGGUGGAAUGCGUAGAGAUCGGGAGGAACACCAGUGGCGAAGGCGGCUACCUGGACCAGCACUGACACUCAGGCACGAAAGCGUGGGGAGCAAACAGG